rnacentral:rRNA from 1 species
UGGGGAAUAUUGGACAAUGGGGGGAACCCUGAUCCAGCCAUGCCGCGUGUGUGAAGAAGGCCUUAUGUUUGUAAAGCACUUUAAGCGAGGAGGAGGGUACUGGUAUUAAUACUACCAGGUACUGGACGUUACUCGCAGAAUAAGCACCGGCUAACUCUGUGCCAGCAGCCGCGGUAAUACAGAGGGUGCGAGCGUUAAUCGGAUUUACUGGGCGUAAAGCGUGCGUAGGCGGCUAAUUGAGUCGGAUGUGAAAUCCCCGAGCUUAACUUGGGAAUUGCAUUCGAUACUGGUUAGCUAGAGUGUGGGAGAGGAUGGUAGAAUUCCAGGUGUAGCGGUGAAAUGCGUAGAGAUCUGGAGGAAUACCGAUGGCGAAGGCAGCCAUCUGGCCUAACACUGACGCUGAGGUACGAAAGCAUGGGGAGCAAACAGG